GAGUUUGAUUCUGGCUCAGGACGAACGCUGGCGGCGUGCCUAAUACAUGCAAGUAGAACGCUGAAGACUGGUGCUUGCACCGGUUGGAUGAGUUGCGAACGGGUGAGUAACGCGUAGGUAACCUACCUCAUAGCGGGGGAUAACUAUUGGAAACGAUAGCUAAUACCGCAUAACAAUGCUUAUUGCAUGAUAAGCAUUUGAAAGGAACAACUGUUUCACUGUGAGAUGGACCUGCGUUGUAUUAGCUAGUUGGUAAGGUAACGGCUUACCAAGGCGACGAUACAUAGCCGACCUGAGAGGGUGAUCGGCCACACUGGGACUGAGACACGGCCCAGACUCCUACGGGAGGCAGCAGUAGGGAAUCUUCGGCAAUGGGGGCAACCCUGACCGAGCAACGCCGCGUGAGUGAAGAAGGUUUUCGGAUCGUAAAGCUCUGUUGUCAGCCAAGAAUGUAUGUGAGAGUGGAAAGUUCACCAUAGUGACCGUAC
rnacentral:rRNA from 1 species